AGAUAUUUAUAUUAUUAAUAGGAAAGUCAUAAAUAUAUAAAUUAUAUUAUAUAAUUAAUAUAAUAAUAAAAUAAAUUAUAUAUUUUAUUUAUAAUAUUAUUUCUUUAUAAGAUAAAUAUUAUCUAAUUAAUAAUUAGAUUGAAUAAUAUUUAUAAAGAAAUAUAUAUAAAAAAUCAUUAUAUAAAUUUAAUUAUAAUUUAAAUAAAUUUUAUAUAAAUUAAUAUAAUAUUAAUAAAGUAAUUAGUAUAAAUAAAUAAUAUGAAAAUAAAACUUAAUAAAUAUAUAAAUAUAGUCCGGCCCGCCCCGCGGGGCGGACCGGAGUCCAUAUAUAUAUAUUAAUAAAAAGUAAUAUAUAUAUAUAUAUUGGAAUAGUUAUAUUAUUAUACAGAAAUAUGCUUAAUUAUAAUAUAAUAUCCA
rnacentral:RNase_MRP_RNA from 5 species